AUGGCCUACAAAGUAAAAAGUGUUUUCUCUCUUGUCCUUUACAGGAAGUUUGCUGAUGGCCAGAACGUCAUAAAAACAGAAGAUUAUUCAGCAGCUGUCUUCAAAACGAAAAAAGCGAAGAGCUACAUUUGCCCUGUGCCUGUUACCCGCCGGAGGCUUGUCGGGCCACGUCGGGGAGCGUGGAGGGAGAGGCAUGAGCCGCGCGCUCGGGGGACCCCAGGUGAGAACCCCCGAGGGGGACCCGCUUCACUGCCUCGAAGGUGCAGGCAGGAGGCCGCUGCUGAGCGCGCCCUGGGCGGCCCCACAUCCCCGGGCUGGGAGGACGGCGCCAGCAGCACAGGCUUCCUCCCAGGAGCAGGUGGAGUGGGCCGGGGACGGUGAGACGGUGUGGAUGUGCCGUCACAGAGCGCGUCAGUCUCGCCGACUGGACCAGCGUCUGCGUCAAGGGGAAGGGGUCUGAGGUCCAGAGGCUCUCAGACGCGCGCUCGCCUCUACCACGUGGGCAAUUACUCCCCUCUGAGCGUGCGUCCGCGCUCAGGGUUUGUUCAGAUUCCCGCAGAGUCCCGCCUGUCCCCGGGGAGGCCUGCACCUGCUCCGGGUCUCACGGGCCGCCC
rnacentral:lncRNA from 1 species